rnacentral:tRNA from 1 species
GCGGGAAUAGCUCAGUUGGUAGAGCGCAACCUUGCGGAGGUUGAGGUCGCGAGUUCGAGCCUCGUUUCCCGCUCCA